GGGAAUCUUGCACAAUGGGGGCAACCCUGAUGCAGCGACGCCGCGUGAGCGAUGAAGCCCUUCGGGGCGUAAAGCUCUUUCGACCGGAACGAUAAUGACGGUACCGGGAGAAGAAGCUGCGGCUAACUACGUGCCAGCAGCCGCGGUAAUACGUAGGCAGCAAGCGUUGUUCGGAGUUACUGGGCGUAAAGAGUGCGUAGGCGGUUUUCUAAGUUCGGUGUGGAAUCUCCCGGCUUAACUGGGAGGGUGCGCCGAAGACUGGGAAGGUGGAGUGUGGGAAAGGCAGGCGGAAUUCCUGGUGUAGCGGUGAAAUGCGUAGAUAUCAGGAGGAACACCGGCGGUGUAUACGGCUUGCUAGACCAUAACUGACGCUGAGGCACGAAAGCGUGGGUAGCAAACA
rnacentral:rRNA from 1 species